AUGACUUUAAAUAAAGUGAAUUUAAUCUGUUCUUAUCAGCUUAAUAUCUGAUACGAUUCUCAUUGAGAAUCCAGUAUAUUAAUCUGAUUUUUGAAACCAGACGAAAAUCCGGGGCUUGCUCCGGUUUUGUCACGAGUUGCCCUGGCAUUGCAGUGUCGCUUGGUGCAGCUCAAUAAUA